UGCUUUCUUCUGAAUUCUUUGAUUCUUCCCUGAAUAAAAGUGGGAGAAACAGUAAAUAUCGUGGCAUAGCUCCAUUCUUUGUUACUUCCCGGCUGGUUUCUACUAUCCUGGAGUAAUAGGUAUUCUACUUUGCUCCACAUGGGAAUGAGUGCACGUUAUUUAAAACUUCUUUCUGUGCAUCUGCUACUUGUCAACUCAUGAUCUUCUGAUCCUUGAAGAUUUGACAACCCUGUGAUUUGCUGUAAUGGAAUUACUGAAAAGUUAUCAACAAAGACGUUGCAAUGUCAUUGAAGGAAUGAAUUGGAGAAUCUUUUCUUCUUAGUCUAAAUGAAAUAAUAAAUAUAAAUAUGCAACAGAGACGGCAGAAAAGAGCUAAUCGCCAUAUUGAGCAGCAUUCUGGAGAGGCCACAUGGAGAGAAAUUGAAACCUCUUAACAGCAAGUACCAACUUGUCGGCCAUGGGAAUGAUCCACCUUGGAAGUGGAUUAUUCGGCCCCAAUCAAACCUUCAGGUAACUGCAACUCAAGUCAUUAUUUUGACCAGCACUUCAUGAGAAGUCUCAGGCUUGAAUCGUUCGUCUAAGAGGUUAUUGAGUCCUGACCCACCAAAACUUUGUGAUGUGAUAAAUAUUUAUCAUUGCUUCAAACUACUAAGCUUGGGUGCAAUUUGUUAUACAGCAAUAGAUAAGUAACCCAGAGGUAAUUUCUGGAGAUAACCUGAGGACAUUGUCUAUGGUUUUUUCAUUAGUGAAUCUCACGCCAUAUAGUACCUGACUCAUAGUUUGGUAGUACAUGAAAGAAUGAAGGUCAUGAUAUUACAUUCACUGAAUGGCCUUCCCAUUGUUUAGCUUCUUGGAAUGAGGAAAGACAAACAUUCUGAGUGACAGGAAGUAUGUACAGGGAAGUGGGGUUCUGUGUGCAGAAGAAAUACGGUCUUCAUGUAAAGACAGAGCACUCAGGGGAAGGUAGGUGCUCACUUUUUGAUAGGUGUUACAGGAUUGUUCACAACUCUGAGCAGUACUGUAGAAGUCAGAGACCAAAAAUUUCCUGAGGAUGAUAAAAAUUAUAUCAAAGAUGUCCUGUUUGGGCCUGCAUCCUUUUCUUUUAUCAUAGAAAGUGAUUAGACUGAUCAUCAGAAAAACUGAUCUGUUCUUCAAAGAAGCUGUUGGUUGCUGCUUAGUGACUUCUGUUCUGCUAUGCUGGCUACUCAUGGAAUCUGGGUUGAUUUGGCCUUCUAUCUUCUCAGUCCAUUCAUUCUUUCCUUAUAGCAAAGAUAAACCCAAGAUCUAUUUUCUAAGUAUUUUGAAGAAAUGCUGAUUGAAUAUCAGACAAGAGCAACAGAAGUAAGUACGCAUCCGUAUAACAAACUCUUAGAACUUCAGAAGUAGUCAUGCAACUAAAAUCAUUAUCCCUGUGUUCUAUAGUUCAUAACAUUUUCCUUUAUCUUGGAAGCUUUAAAGAAGAUAUUCAAGACAAUGAACUUCACCCGUAUUUUAUUAAUAUAAUUUUGGCAUAAUGCUUCUGUGUAUCAGUAUUUUUCCAAUCUAUAAUUGAGGAAUGAAAAACAGUAAGAAAAAAAUAUAGAGUCAAAGUGGUUUUCAGUUGGAACAUCUUGGAAGAGUCCUCUGGAAUCAAAAGCGGUAUUAUAAAUUAGAUAUCGAUCUCUCUUUCUUGUAUGUAUUAUUUUUAAAUGGGUUAUGUUUAAAAGAAAAAGAGAGACGACGCUUGAGUAAGAAUCACAGGACAAGAGAGAGUAUUCCAAGGAGGGAGAAAUAAUAGGUAAGGUGUUUGAAAAGGGAGACAGAUGGGGUGAGACAUACACAAAGGUCAGCAAGUUCAAGUCUUUGACUGGAGCAAUGAGUGUGGGCUGAAUAGUCCCCUCUUGCCCAUCUGCCUUCUUGCACCACGACUUCUCAUAUCAUGUUUCUUCCCUGCAUUCAGGCUCAGAAAAGGUAAGUGUGAACUGAAAUGAGUUCACUCCACCCAGCGUGAGCUCUAGCAAACCCUUCUGCACACAGCGGGGUAUAUGUGGAAACAAGACUGAAUUAUCAGUGUGGAUGGAGCCAAACAGAGAAAAGAAGAGUUGGGGCCAGGAUGAAGUCACACGACUGACACAUGUAUUCUGUACAAAGUUUUUGUGUUUUCAAGUCAAAAGACUACUUUUCAAUGUUUGGAAGAAUGAAAACCAUGGUGGUUGUGCAUUGUUCUUGUUGGAUGUACAUUUGGUUCAGUAUCUUUCAACAGUGACAACUAAACAACAGAGUUAAAUAUACAUCCUUUUUUAACUGGAAAAAUAAUGUGUUCUCUUUGAAGAAAAUUUGGAAAUGCAGAGAAGUACAGGGAAGGAAAAAGAAUAGGAAAAAACUACUACCAUGAAAAACACAUUAUUUGUUUGGUAUAUUUUCUUUUUUUUUAGCCCAGUUCCCCCUUUUUGUCUAUGCAUGGUGCUUGAUACCCCUCCACACACAAUUUUGUAUUUGUCCUUUUUCAUUUAAUUUGAUUUUACAAGUAAUUUCCUUAUUAAUUAAUUUUUUAUAAAUGGCUAUGCCAUCUUUCCUCAUGUGUGAAAAUGUGGCUAUUGUUUUCUUAACUAUCCCUCUCUUUCUAGGCAUUUAGGAUGGUUUGAUAGUCACUGUUAUAAAUGAUGUUAUGAUAAACUUCUUUGUGUACUACGUUAUUUCUGGAUUUAAAAAUUCCUUAAAGGAUAGAUUUCUGGGAAUUUUAUCCUUUAUCAAAGGAUAAAAAUAGCAUGUACAUUACUCUUUAUGAUUGUAUGAGCAUUGGCUGGAUAUUUUGAUGAAGUAUAUUUCCUCUUCACAAUUAAUGGAUGCUAAUCAAGAUCCAAAAUCAUAUAUAAGACAUGUCUAUUUAGACCUGGGCUUCUCUUCAGACUUCAGAACUUGGUGUCUUCACUGUGGUUGUUCUCCUGUGUCUUGAAAUCCAUCGUGAUGCUGCAUGUUUGGCAAGCAUUGGAUUGUAGGCCAACAGACACGACUUUUCCCUGAAUGAUUUCUCAUGGAAGAGAUGGGGGUGGGGAUGAGGGAAGGAGAAUAAGAUAACUCUACAAACAAUAUGCAAGACAUCAAUAAACGUGCUUUGCCAAAUAGUUUGAGAAUCUGAGAAGACACAAUAAUGCUUACAACAUAGACUCCCCUUUCUAUUUUUUCACUGUUUCAAAAAUACAAACGUUUUGGGAUAUGCCUUCCGAUAAAGCUCCACUGAAAUCACGCCUGCGCAGAAUGUUUACAUACAAUACAGAAACCUUUGUGAACAAAGACGUGUUGUUGAAGUGAUCUUGCUCACCUCUAUCUCCUUUAGAGACUCACCUUUUGUAAAUAAAAUGGAAGCUGAUGGUUUUAUUCAGUUACUGUUUUAGAUGUUUGCUUUUCACUAACC